ACUUUACGUUCACUGGAAGUUGCAACACGUAAUAUUCAACAAGCCGGUUUCAUUUCACAGCUGAUACAAUGACCAGCACUGCUUCACCUCACUGGGAAGUUGUCGGAAAAGGCAAGAAAAGUAAAAUCCCCACUCCAGUUAGUCGGGGUGAGAGGAAGAAACUCGUGGAUGGAAUGCCCAAAGUAGAACACUACGCUCCAGCUUUACAGGAAUCAAGCACUCUGUUUAAUGUUUUCUUGGAGAAAGAGAGGAAACAACAGCAGGCUAAUGCACAAGCCAAGGCAGAGUCAAAAGAUUCGAGCAAGACCAAUGGGCAUGCUAAUGCUAGUAAAAAGCCAGCUCAGCCCAAGAAAAAAGUGCAGAAGACAGAACCUGAGAAAAAGAAGCCUACAGAUUUCCUGUCAGCAGUUGCUGAGAUAAAGAAAGAUGACCUGGAAUCUGCAUUGGCUAUAACAAAAGUAAGUUUUCCUGGAAACAUUGAGGUUUGGUUGAAAGAUUUGGCCUCCUUGUUGAGCAUCAAACUUGAACAAUGCCCUGAGCCUGACCCUGUCAUGAAAAACAAGCCUAAAGAUUUUCCAAUGUGCCACCUAACUAACAAAUGCCAGGAUUUGAUUAAAUCUGUGAUUCGGGAGGCAUCGGUCGAGACUCUGGAGCACCUGUUGUAUCACAGUAUUACAACUAUGCUGUCAGAAAUGAACAAAGGCAAUUCUAGCUAUGGAUACAGGAUUUUCAUCCAGUUGUUAGUGUACAGUAAGCCAAGCAUUGCCCUGACUAAAACACAGCAGUACUUGGAGUUGCUGACCACUCACCAGAACAAGUUACCCAGGUGUCUCUCCAUUCUGUGGUGUCUGGGGGUGGGAGGAAACAAGGACUUCAGGAGUGGACUCAGAGGUACGGGUGAAAGGUUAUUUUACGUCUCUUGCUUUGGUGUAAAGAUAAAGGUGUGUAGACGUCACGUCAAUUUAUAGAAUAUUGUGCAUGAUGAAAUAGAGCCAUUUUAACAAGAGCUUGGGCUUUGAGCAGUACUUGCUCCAAUUUGUUAAAGGCCAGGUCCAUUCAUAGUUUACUGUUCAAUCAUUGGCUAAUGGAUAUGAAUACAUUGAAUGCAAUGGCAAUAGUUUGACUUCAUCAAGGGGUGUAUAUUUCAGUUAAAACAGCAUCAAUUUCACACAACAAACCAGAUCUUGGGGGAAAUAAACUUUCUGAUUUUGUUGGAAAUUUCUCUUAGUGAAUUAAAAUAAAGGAGGUCAGUAUUUGACAGCGUGUUUUGAUGAGCAAACUAAAUGGUAACUUCCCACUGAAAGUCCAAACUCUUGUUUGCUCUAGUUGAGCAUUAGACAUGUUUGCAAGUUUAUGAUUACCAAGGAGGUGCUGAAAAUUUUCAUUUUCCAAAUUGCUGUUAGUACCCUAAAGAAAUAUCCAGAAUAUGCACGUGUAGUUACAGUUAGUACUGAUAAUAAUUAAAACUUGCACAAUUGCCUAACAAAAUUGAUACAUGUAUUAAUAAUAAAAAGAAGAAUACAAGUCCAUGUGCAUAAAUGUAUCUACCAAGGGACAUGAUGAAGGAUUUGUCCAAGAAAGCAUUUGAAAGUGUGAUAUUUCUAAUGUGCCUAAUUCUGUUUAAUCUCUAGUCUGGAUGGAGGUGAUGAUGCCCAUGUUGAAGUCGAGACCUGUGGCUCCAUAUUGUGUGGAUUAUCUGGAAGAAUUAUUCCGGACCCACACUGACAUGAAGAAGUUGUCGGGAGAAAUGUCCCUGAAGGAGUACUUCUUCCUGGUGGACAUGAUCUUCAAUGACCAGAAUCUGCCAAAAGAUCUUGCCAAAAAACUACAAACUCUGUAUCCAAAGCUGAAGGUAAUUUGAUUUUC
rnacentral:misc_RNA from 1 species